rnacentral:rRNA from 1 species
AACGAACGCUGGCGGCAUGCCUAACACAUGCAAGUCGAACGAGACCUUCGGGUCUAGUGGCGCACGGGUGCGUAACGCGUGGGAACCUGCCCUUAGGUUCGGAAUAACUCCCCGAAAGGGGUGCUAAUACCGGAUAUUGUCUUCGGACCAAAGAUUUAUCGCCUUUGGAUGGGCCCGCGUUGGAUUAGCUAGUUGGUAGGGUAAAAGCCUACCACGGCGACGAUCCAUAGCUGGUCUGAGAGGAUGAUCAGCCACACUGGGGCUGAGACACGGCCCAGACUCCUACGGGAGGCAGCAGUGGGGAAUAUUGGACAAUGGGCGAAAGCCUGAUCCAGCAAUGCCGCGUGAGUGAUGAAGGCCUUAGGGUUGUAAAGCUCUUUUACCCGGGAUGAUAAUGACAGUACCGGGAGAAUAAGCACCGGCUAACUCCGUG